rnacentral:rRNA from 1 species
GACGAACGCUGGCGGCGUGCUUAACACAUGCAAGUCGAACGGUAAGGCCCUUCGGGGUACACGAGUGGCGAACGGGUGAGUAACACGUGGGUGAUCUGCCCUGCACUUCGGGAUAAGCCUGGGAAACUGGGUCUAAUACCGGAUAGGACCCUGGGAUGCAUGUCCUGGGGUGGAAACCUUUUGCGGUGUGGGAUGGGCCGGCGGCCUUUCAGCUUGUUGGUGGGGUGAUGGCCUACCAAGGCGACGACGGGUAGCCGGCCUGGGAGGGUGACCGGCCACACUGGGACUGAGAUACGGCCCAGACUCCUACGGGAGGCAGCAGUGGGGAAUAUCGCACAAUGGGCGCAAGCCUGAUGCAGCGACGCCGCGUGAGGGAUGACGGCCUUCGGGUUGUAAACCUCUUUCAGCACCGACGAAGCGCAAGUGACGGUAGGUGCAGAAGAAGGACCGGCCAACUACGUGCCAGCCGCCGCAGUAA